rnacentral:rRNA from 1 species
UACGUAGGGGGCAAGCGUUAUCCGGAUUUACUGGGUGUAAAGGGAGCGCAGGCGGUAUGGCAAGUCAGAUGUGAAAACCCAGGGCCCAACCCUGGGACUGCAUUUGAAACUGCCAUACUGGAGUGCCGGAGAGGUAAGUGGAAUUCCUAGUGUAGCGGUGAAAUGCGUAGAUAUUAGGAGGAACACCAGUGGCGAAGGCAGCUCACUAGACUGCAACUGACACUGAUGCUCGAAAGUGUGGGUAUCAAACAGG